rnacentral:rRNA from 1 species
CAUGCUUUUGACGGGUAACGGGGAAUUAGGGUUCGACUCCGGAGAGGGAGCCUGAGAAACGGCUACCACAUCCAAGGAAGGCAGCAGGCGCGCAAAUUACCCAAUCCCGAUACGGGGAGGUAGUGACAAGAAAUACCGAUUCAGGAUCUUAUUGGAUCUUGAGAUUGGAAUGAGUACAAUUCAAACCCAUUAACGAGGAACAACUAGAGGGCAAGUCUGGUGCCAGCAGCCGCGGUAAUUCCAGCUCUAGUAGCGUAUAUUAAAAUUGUUGCAGUUAAAACGCUCGUAGUUGAACUUUGGGCUUGGCUGGCUGGUCCGCCUCACCGCGUGCACUGGUCCGGCUGGGCCUUUCCUCUUGGGGAUCCACAUGCCCUUCACUUGGGUGUGUUGGGGAACCAGGACUUUUACUUUGAAAAAAUUAGGGUGUUCAAAGCAGGCAUUUGCUCGAAUACAUUAGCAUGGGAUAAUAGAAUAGGACGUGUGGUCUUAUUUUGUUGGUUUCUAGGACCGCCGUAAUGAUUGAUAGGGAUAGUUGGGGGCAUCGGUAUUCAAUUGUCAGA